AGAGGGCCGAAAAAGGAAGCCCAAGAGAGAGAGUGAGACAGAGAAGUUGAGCAAAGAUGACGAAAGGCAGCAUGAUUCAAGGAGGAUUAGAAGGAGGAAUCGUUGACAAGAAUCCGCCGAGACGAGAGGGGUCCGAAGAGAGAUAACUGUGUAGGCAAAUAUUCAGGUGGAAAUAACAGUGAAGCAGGAAUCAGAACAAAAAUUACCGUUGGUGGAUCCCAAUACUUAAAUAAGGCGGAGGGUUCCGAGGGAGACUAGGUAGAAAACUAACCCAUAUUAUACACACAUGCACGCCAACCUUAAUCAGCAUUCGUGUAAUAAGAAUACUCUAUUACAAGUCCAAUUAGUAUAUAAUACACAGGUAGUAUAUGAAAGGAAUUGGAUGAAUUUAUGUUAGACAUAUAUUGCAAA